CCGGGCCUCUCCAAGCGGCUCGUCUCUUCUGCGCUGCAGACGAAGCGGUGCGGGGCGGCGGCGGCUCCUCCCCGCGCCUCCGGCUGCGCCGCGAUGAGGGCGGUGCAGUCCCGCCCCGGAGCCGAGGGCGGUGUUUGGCCGUAACCCUAGAAACCCUCGGCCAGCCCGGCUCUGCCCUGCCGGGCCCGGCCCCGGGGAGCGGCGGGGAGCCGGGCUGAGCCCCCCGGGGUGCGGGGUGAUGUGCAAGCAGUGCCAGGGAGCGGGUCCCGGGCAGCCCCAGGGAGGCGGUGCCCUGAGCCGUGCGGCCGCCGCCUCUUUAAGGGCCCCGCGUGUUACCUCUUGGGCUCUAACAGACAUGUCGGACCUAGCGAAGGAGAAGGCAUCUCGCCUCUUGAAGAAGCAAGGCAGCGUCUCCUCGCUAAGCAGCCACGAAGUCAGAGCGAAAGAUGUCUUUGGAAGAAGCAAGGACUCCAUGAGUACAGUGUCUUAUAUGGAUCAACCUGGUCAUCAUGAUGAUUUUUCUCGCCCUGCGGUUCAGAUGGAGAACACUUACCAACUAGGUCCUACAAGACGUUUUCCUGUGGUUACGGUGAAUAAUAUUUUGAAGGACGUGCUGACUAAUUAUCUUCAAGAAGAAAAAUAUGAAGCGGAGUUAUGCAGACAAAUGACAAAAACCAUCUCUGAGCUGCUCCGGGACCUGCACUGCACGCAGCACCUGAGAAGCAGCCAGACUAGCCGGGGCAUGUGACAUAAAUCCUGGAGUGACUGGAACAGGUACCACACUGCAUGUGACACCCAUCCUGAACCAGCUGGAGCAGACACCGUGUGUGGUAAUUAAAGCUCGGGUAAAAGAGCUCAUGAUACCAAGGUACAAGAUAAUUGUCAUUAUCCAUAUUGGACAACUAAACGAACAGAGCAUGCAAAUUGGAAGCAGAUGCCUUUGGGAUCCUACAA